UGAACGCUGGCGGCGUGCUUAACACAUGCAAGUCGUGCGCGAAGGUGGCUUCGGCCACCGGAGAGCGGCGAACGGGUGAGUAACACGUGGGUGAUCUGCCUGUGAGCGGGGGAUAACCUGGGGAAACUCGGGCUAAUACCGCAUACGUUGAUAGGGUUGCGGCCUUGUCAAGAAAGCUGGCCUCUAUUUAUAAGCUAGCGCUCGCAGAGGGGCCCGCGGCUGAUUAGCUAGUUGGUAGGGUAAUGGCCUACCAAGGCGACGAUCAGUAGCCGGCCUGAGAGGGUGAUCGGCCACACUGGGACUGAGACACGGCCCAGACUCCUACGGGAGGCAGCAGUGGGGAAUAUUGGACAAUGGGCGCAAGCCUGAUCCAGCAACGCCGCGUGGAGGACGAAGGUCUUCGGAUCGUAAACUCCUGUCAGGCGGGACGAAGGAUGCGGGGCAAAUAGUCCUGCAUCUUGACGGUACUGCCAGAGGAAGCCCCGGCUAACUCCGUGCCAGCAGCCGCGGUAAUACGGAGGGGGCGAGCGUUAUUCGGAAUUAUUGGGCGUAAAGGGCGCGUAGGCGGCCCGGUAAGUCAAAGGUGAAAUCCCUCGGCUCAACUGAGGAACUGCCUUUGAAACUGUCGGGCUUGAGGCCGGGAGGGGGUAGCGGAAUUCCCAG
rnacentral:rRNA from 1 species